CCACAGUUAUUAAACACGUGAAACGAUGUUGACAAGAUGCGCUCGUGACUAUGUACAAAUGUAAAGCAAACAACAAAUUGUAACAAUGUCGCCAGAUUAGAACCGUUUGUCACUAACAAACAUCGUAAUCCUGCAGCAAGCUAGUCAACCAGUUAAUAACAAAACUUGUCAACUUGUCACAAAUUGUUGAAAAGCAGAACGACAAGAAGUUCUCAGAACUUGUUACAAGUCUGAUCAAACCAUUAACACAACUGUAACAACUACAUUUAUUCAAUACUAUAAAUCUACGCGAAUUUAUUGUUUUCGGUGCUUCGUCUUGCUAGUAUACAGCACAAUUAAGUACUUUUGUGGUCAAAACUUAAGCAUGUAGACGAGUAUUGAUAAGAUUAUUCAGUACUGUAGUAUAUUCAAAAGGUAAAGUGUUAUUAGUAAGUUAGUAAAUCGGAUGUGCAUAACUUUAUGCAUAUUCUUCUCUAUAUGUCAACAAUAAUUUAUAUUUUUCCAAACAUUUCCCAGAAUCAUUUUCCAAUCAUAUUGUCCAUUUUGUGCGUGAUCAUCACGUUGCCUUGGUCACAUGUUCUUAUUCCUUCAAUCAAUUCUUGAAUAUUGGUUUGGGUUAGUGUAUGUUUCAGUAAGUACUUUAUAUCGUGCUACACAUGAUGUUCAAAGUCAAGCGAGCAAAUGAUGCAAAAUGUUCCAUUACAUGUGCUUGCCAUCACACACGAGAUGAAUACAUAGAGUGAACAAUGUCUCGCUCAAUAUAACUAACAGUUGAAGGUUUUUGUAGAUGGAAAUUUCUAGUGGAAAAACAUUUUGCAGACUCACCCAGGAGCAGUUGUGAAAAAUGCAACUAUAAGCUCUCUGGUAGGAAUGGAAUCUGCACCCCUGUCAUUCUUGCCAGAGGGUCUAUAAAGAGUCGCACUAGAUUUUUCGCAACUGCUCUUGCUGAGGUCUGAAAAUAGACAAUUCCCAUUAAUAUAGACUAAUUUUAAAACUAGGCAAGGAGAUGCUAAUAAAUCACCACAGCUAGAAAGAACAUACUAAAAUGAGUAAAAUUGCAAAGUUUGGUUGCGAAAUGUUGUAAAAUGAGGAAAAUAUUGCCUUGCAAAGUUUGCAUAUUUUUU